rnacentral:rRNA from 1 species
GACGUUACCCGCAGAAGAAGCACCGGCUAACUCCGUGCCAGCAGCCGCGGUAAUACGGAGGGUGCAAGCGUUAAUCGGAAUUACUGGGCGUAAAGCGCACGCAGGCGGUUUGUUAAGUCAGAUGUGAAAUCCCCGGGCUCAACCUGGGAACUGCAUCUGAUACUGGCAAGCUUGAGUCUCGUAGAGGGGGGUAGAAUUCCAGGUGUAGCGGUGAAAUGCGUAGAGAUCUGGAGGAAUACCGGUGGCGAAGGCGGCCCCCUGGACGAAGACUGACGCUGAGGAGCGAAAGCGUGGGGAGCGAACAGGAUUAGAUACCCUGGUAGUCCACGCCGUAAACGAUGUCGACUUGGAGGUUGUGCCCUUGAGGCGUGGCUUCCGGAGCUAACGCGUUAAGUCGACCGCCUGGGGAGUACGGCCGCAAGGUUAAAACUCAAAUGAAUUGACGGGGGCCCGCACAAGCGGUGGAGCAUGUGGUUUAAUUCGAUGCAACGCGAAGAACCUUACCUGGUCUUGACAUCCACGGAAGUUUUCAGAGAUGAGAAUGUGCCUUCGGGAACCGUGAGACAGGUGCUGCAUGGCUGUCGUCAGCUCGUGUUGUGAAAUGUUGGGUUAAGUCCCGCAACGAGCGCAACCCUUAUCCUUUGUUGCCAGCGGUCCGGCCGGGAACUCAAAGGAGACUGCCAGUGAUAAACUGGAGGAAGGUGGGGAUGACGUCAAGUCAUCAUGGCCCUUACGACCAGGGCUACACACGUGCUACAAUGGCGCAUACAAAGAGAAGCGACCUCGCGAGAGCAAGCGGACCUCAUAAAGUGCGUCGUAGUCCGGAUUGGAGUCUGCAACUCGACUCCAUGAAGUCGGAAUCGCUAGUAAUCGUGGAUCAGAAUGCCACGGUGAAUACGUUCCCGGGCCUUGUACACACCGCCCGUCACACCAUGGGAGUGGGUUGCAAAAGAAGUAGGUAGCUUAACCUUCGGGAGGGCGCUUACCACUUUGUGAUUCAUGACUGGGGUGAAGUCGUAACAAGGUAACCGUAGGGGAACCUGCGGUUGGAUCACCUCCUUA